UCGGUAAUAUAGAUGCAACUUUAAACUAUUUUUUAAGUACCAGUGGUGAGCAAUUCUUCAAAUAUAGGGGUUAUUUUAAAUUAUUUUUUAUAAUGGUGUAAGUGGGUAAUUUUGAUGAAGAUUAGGAGGUUACUUUAGUUUGUUUUAUAUAAUGGCAGAGGUGGAUAAUUUAGAUAUAGAUUUAGGGGGUUACUUUUGGUUAUUUUCAUAAUGGCAUAGGUGGGUAAUUUUUUGGAAAAUGUAAUAGAUCCAAUGGCUAUGAU
rnacentral:lncRNA from 1 species